rnacentral:rRNA from 2 species
CGGGGUUGCGGACAGUGUCUGGUGGGUAGUUUGACUGGGGCGGUCUCCUCCCAAAGCGUAACGGAGGAGCACGAAGGUUAGCUAAUCCUGGUCGGACAUCAGGAGGUUAGUGCAAUGGCAUAAGCUAGCUUGACUGCGAGCGUGACGGCGCGAGCAGGUGCGAAAGCAGGUCAUAGUGAUCCGGUGGUUCUGAAUGGAAGGGCCAUCGCUCAACGGAUAAAAGGUACUCCGGGGAUAACAGGCUGAUACCGCCCAAGAGUUCAUAUCGACGGCGGUGUUUGGCACCUCGAUGUCGGCUCAUCACAUCCUGGGGCUGAAGUAGGUCCCAAGGGUAUGGCUGUUCGCCAUUUAAAGUGGUACGCGAGCUGGGUUUAGAACGUCGUGAGACAGUUCGGUCCCUAUCUGCCGUGGGCGCUGGAGAAUUGAGGGGGGCUGCUCCUAGUACGAGAGGACCGGAGUGGACGCAUCACUGGUGUUCGGGUUGUCAUGCCAAUGGCACUGCCCGGUAGCUAAAUGCGGAAGAGAUAAGUGCUGAAAGCAUCUAAGCACGAAACUUGCCCCGAGAUGAGUUCUCCCUGAGACU